rnacentral:tRNA from 1 species
UGGCGUGUAGCUCAGCAGGCAGAGCCCUCGACUGUUAAUCGAGAACGCGCUGGUUCGAUCCCAGCCACGCCAGCCA